CGCACGCCCCGCUGCCCUGAGGGUGGUGAGGUGGCGGGACCGCGCUCAGCGGAGUGGAGCGUAUUACAUAAAUCAUGCUGCUGAUUUUUCCAAGCCUUCUGCUAGGGUUUGCUGCAUACUGUUCACCCGGAGAGAAUGGCCUGUUGGGAAUUCCUGACUACGUUGGGAGUACUUCAGAUGUAAUACAGACUGCAAAUGUUAGCUUGCAUCAGGAUGCCCAGAGGUGAGUGAGCAUUUCUCUGGCCAGAACAGAAAGAUCUAUGGCAUAUUCUUGUGGCUGGCCAGCAUAUGGAGGAGGACUCUCACUAAAGUUCUAGUUCUGAAAUAUGGAAGAGAAUCCAGAAGCACAUGCAGUUGACAAUAGCCAUUACAAAUAAUGGCACUGGUGAAGCAGCAAGAUCGUUCACACAGCUAUUGCAAGGUCAGAGAAUUACAGAAUGGGUAAUUGGAGGGGACUCCAGUGGGACAUCCAGCCUAACUCCCCUGCUCAAGCAGCAUCAUCAGCGUCCAUCCACAUGGCACAGGAUUGCAUUCAACUGGUUCUGGAAUAUCUCCAGUGAGGGAAGCUCUACAACCGCUCUGUUCUGGUGCUUGGUCACCCAAUGACCAUCCUCCUUGUAUUAAAAUAAAAUCAAAAAGAAUGAUGAAGUCUGAAGACUGCC